AAUGUAUAAUUAAUUCUAAUGUAAAGGUCAUGGUAACCCACUAGUAAUGACUCAAGUAUUACCAAAUUCUGAUUACGAUUUCUGUGGAAAUAAACUCUUCAAAUCUGCCUAUUCAGUGAAUGGGAUAAUGAACGCCGCCCAUUUUGUCCAUAUUUCUGUCCAUGUUUUUGUCCAUGUUUCCGCCUAGCAUUUGCGGCUCUGUGAUUGGUGGUCCCACUAUGAAAUUACAGAGGGCCAAGCAAUAGUAAAUCAAUGGGAGCGUAAUUUCAAGUGACAGAAAAACUGACCAAUCAUAUAUUCGCUCUUAAUGGGCGGGCCUUGUUAUCACUAACUUUAUGACAAGUUCCGCCUGCUGUGAGAUCUCUAUCAGAAAAAAGUAUAUACGCUGAGAAAACUAACUAACUAUCGUUAGCUAUUAUUCAUGUCACGAUUGAAGCCGCAAUUUACGUAAGUGAAGACAUUUACUGGGCCACUGUGCCAAUAAUAUUAAUUAUAAAUCAUGCUUGUUUGUCAUGAAGUGUUACUUGUUUUGCUGUGAGCGCUGAUGUGUUGGCUUACAUUAAACAUUGCAUUUGUUGGUUUUGUGCACAGACCGAUUGUGUGAUGAUGUAUUUGUAAUGAGGAUUUUCAUUUGACUUUCAUUAGACGCACUCGCUGCGCUGUUUUCUAGUUGCAAUUCUGCAGACGAGGAGCGGACUUCAGUUCAAGAUGACAGUCCAAAACUUUUAAUCUAUCCUCCAAACAGUUUAAAGUUUGCUUAAAGACUGAGUAAAUGGUGUCAAACAGUUUGAAAUUCAGUGACUGAAAUAACAGAGCAAACGGAAUGAGAAAGUGCGAAGCACGGGCAUUAUUAGUGCCACAGAAAGACAAACGUUUCGCUGAAAAAUGCACAAUACACAAUCUCGCAGCCAAAGGAUAAAGUCAUUAUAUACAUUAAAAAUAAUUUGGGACAAAUAUAAUGUAAUUUAAUGGAAAACUAUGUGAGCGGCACACUGUGGCGUGGCUGGAUUCUGAACAGCACCCAGAGUCGCAGCUGGGAUCCGCGGACAGUUGCCGGUGGCGCCGCUGGACGUCCGGACAUGGUGCAACGCAGCACUGCGCUUCUCGUCCGGUGUGUGACCGCCUUAAGACUAGAUUUGGAAUUAUCAAAGAUGACUUUUAGAAGAUGACACCGUAUGACCGUAAGCUAGGCUGGUAGUUUGUUUUUUCCCCUGACGAUGGGAGAGGGCCUAGGUUCAAAAGUCACGGUUCGCUACUGGUUAUUCAUUAACAAAGGAUCAGUAUUCUUAAGUGUUACCGUUCAGUCUUUUGUGCUUACCGUGUAUAGCGAAUCUGCCAAGGUGCGAGCGCAACUGGUUCUUAAAGGGAAUGGGAGAUGAGACUUUGAUUGAUUUAUUGCAGGUUAUGCCCAAAACACACCCUUUACUCAUUAAGAGAAUAGGGACAACACUUUUAGACCAUGCACUGAUUUUUCCCAUCGUUAAACUAGCAAAAGUGGAUUCGGACAUGCCCUAAGUGCACCUGCGCCUUGCGCUUUAGACCAUGAGCUAAUAUCGUUGAAACAGGGCUCGAUAUGUUGCUUAAUUUGAUAUUACAUAGAAUAUUCAAUAUAUCAUGCAGCCAAAUCAUUUUGAGUGAAAAAAGUAGUCAAAUUAGUACAUUUAAAUUUUGAAGCCUACAGUUUGGACUGAUUUAAAUUUACUGGCUCUAAGAGUGUUUUUACUAGGCUACUGAAGUUUAUACGUUGCUCACUUUAUAACACAAAGUCAUCGCACAGAUAUCUGAAUAUUUAGUAAGGUAAUCUUCAAUCGUGUGAUUUUGAAGCUCUUAAGACCGAAACUAGUGCGAUGCUGAUUGAACCAGACUGAGAAAAAUCCCACCUUGUGACAAAGUCUGGGAAAUAUAAUCAAUGGUGCGUCUGAAAGGACAAAAGUCACUUCAAACGAGAUGGCUUUCUUUUUGUCACAGAGUAAAACACUUGGCCAGAUGCACAGCCGCGUUCUCAGCACUCAGUCCAGCAAGUCCGAAUCAAAGGAAACGUGCGCGGCGAAUCUGAUUCCAAGAUACGGUCACUCAAUGACAAAAGCCUUUGUGGCUAUUGACAGCAUUUGCCCGGUGAUCUCAGAAACGUGACAGAGGCUCACGACGGCCCGAUCGCUUGAUUAAGCCCGUGUAUUUACCCGUCAAGCGCGGUGUCAGUCGCAGGCCGCUCUCACCCGCGCCGCUGUAUCUGUCGUCUUACAGCUAAUGACAGGAUGAUGAAAGAAGCGCGGCCUGAGCCGGUUUGAAUGACACUCUCAGUUACGGGUUGGGCUUUAAUCUUUGGUUAACCUGGCCUUUUGCCGCUCUGGGAUGAAGCGCCUCUGUAUCUUCCUUUGAAGAAUGACACCAGGCCGUCUGAUCCUGUGGGAAACCUUUAAUAUACCUGGCAAGGAUUCGGGAAGAAUGGAGUCAUGUCUACUGCUUCAUCAAAUCAUUGCUCACUGAUCUAAAUUGCUUUCUUUCUUUCUUUCUUUCUUUCUUUCUUUCUUUCUUUCUUUCUUUCAUUCUUUCUUUCUUUCUUUCUUUCUUUCUUUCUUUCUUUCUAUUGCACAGACAUGACAGUCAAAAAACAUAUGUGUAUAUAUAUAUAUAUAUAUAUAUAUGGGUAGUUGACAAAUAAAAAUUGGACUGUAUCCUAUGGUGUGACAAAGCAAAAAUGUAGAAAAAAAAAACUUAACAUAUAAAUAACAUGAGAAAAAUGUAUCUUCAUUCUUAGAGUUACAAAUAGCAUGAGAGAGGUUUAUCUUCAGUGUUAGAGGUUAUUUUGUUUUACAUUUUUCCGUCACGCCAUAGGACACAUUGAUACAUCAACUACCCAUAUAUUACAUACAUUACAUUAAUAUAUUUCAAUGAAAUACACUUUUGCAUGUAAGUUUAACUUACACCAAACUCUACGGUUUUAUUCCUAUAUAUAUAUAUAUAUAUAUAUAUAUAUAUUCUGAUGGUUUUCACAGAGGGAUUUGUUCGUUUAUCAUUUGCCUGAUUUUGGUUUUCUUUUUCAUUUUAGUUAGUUUUAGCAAUUUAGUUGUGUUUUUGUCAUUUUUCUUAGUUUUUUCUUUUUUAAAUAUGCUUUUUAAUAGUCUUGAUAAAUUUCUAUUUCAGUUUUUGUUUUAGUUAUUUUACUACAACAAGAUAAACUAAAUGAAAAUGAUUAGCUGAAAUAAAAUAAUUUUUAUAUUAAUCUUAUUUCAGUUAAAAUGUAUUUUAUUUCUAGUAAGAAAAUGUUUCAUGGUUUUAGUUUUAGUUAACUACAAUAACCCUGCUAAUAUGUCAUCAAAAUGAAACAACAAAUUUGAACCCAGUGUCAGUAUCAACUUGGGAAGUAUGGCGAUAUCUGUUACCCUGUUCACCUGGGGUGUCUUGCCUUAAAAUAAUUUGUCAAUGUUUAUAUUAAUAUUUAUCUUUUUAAAUAAAGGUGAGUGUUGAAUUAGUUUGUGUUUAGUUAAUGGGGCUGCUGCCAGCCCGACAGAACAUGUGAGCAGUGAUGUUCUGGGAGACGCUGUCAGGUCAGCUGUAAAGCCCUCCGUUGAAGCAGCAGUUUUUGAAGAAGCAGCCAGGCUGGAACGAAUGAGCAUGUUUCUUGAGCGCUUGUUUGCACAGCAGAAAUGCAUUAAUGUUUCAUGGCCGGUCUCGGCAUCAGAGCUCUCCCUCCAGGAGCCCGUUUGACUGCAGAUGUAUCGAUUAAAAAGAUUAGCCAUUACUGAAUUCCUCACAGACGCACUGGCCUGAUUCACCACCUCCGUUUCCUCAUGCAGAGCUGAGUGCCACUCACACGGGAACUCAGAAUGACUUCUUCACUCCAGUUGAAUUCCUCAAUUUGAAUUGAGCUAGAAAACUGAAUGCAGGAUUGCAAUUUUGAAUUCAAAUGAACUGGAAUUUAAAAUCUGUUUGUCUGUCUGAAUAUCCAUCCAUCGUCGUUUGCUUUCCACAGAAGAAAGAAACUCAUACGGGUUUGAAACGACAUGAAGAAAAAGGAAAGUCAAAUGGGUUUGGAACAACGUGAGGGAGCUGGACAGAUGUGGUCACUCUGAUCUGUUGGAAACUGAAUAGAAAUGAG